rnacentral:rRNA from 1 species
CCGCGAAUCGCCCUUCGGGGUGCCCAGGCGCGAAACCUUUACAAUGCACGCAAGUGUGAUAGGGGGAUACUCAGUGCUUACGACUCUGUUGUAGGCUUUUGUCGAUCGUAAAUAGAUCGGCGAAUAAGUGGUGGGUAAGACUGGUGCUAGCCGCCGCGGUAACCCCAGCGCCACGAGUGGUUAUCACGAUUAUUGGGCCUAAAGCGUUCGUAGCCGGUUUGGUGCAUCUCUUGUGAAAUUGUUCGGCUUAACCGGACAGCGUGCAGGAGACACGGCCAGACUCGAGACCGGGAGGCGUGUGAAGUAUGUCGUGGGGACUGGUAAAAUGGGAUAAUCCACGAUAGACUACCGAUGGCGAAGGCAUCACACGAGAACGGAUCUGACGGUGAGGAACGAAAGCUAGGGGAGCGAACCGGAUUAGAUACCCGAGUAGUCCUAGCCGUAAACGCUGCGAGCAAGGUGUCGCGUAUCUCACGAAGAUGCGCGGUGUCGAAAUGAAGAUGCUAAGCUCGCCGCCUGGGAAGUACGGUCGCAAGACUGAAACUUUAAGGAAUUGGCGGGGGAGCAC